UACGUAGGGGGCAAGCGUUGUCCGGAUUUAUUGGGCGUAAAGAGCGUGUAGGCGGCCAGAUAGGUCGGUUGUGAAAACUGGAUGGCUCAACCUCCAGACGUCGACCGAAACCAUCUGGCUAGAGUCCGGAAGAGGAGAGUGGAAUUCCUGGUGGAGCGGUGAAAUGCGCAGAGAUCAGGAGGAACACCCGUAGCGAAGGCGGCACUCUGGGCCGAUACUGACACUGAGGAGCGAAAGCGUGGGGAGCGAACAGG
rnacentral:rRNA from 1 species